UGAGGAAUAUUGGACAAUGGGCGCAAGCCUGAUCCAGCCAUGCCGCGUGCAGGAUGACGGUCCUAUGGAUUGUAAACUGCUUUUGCACAGGAAAAAACAUCCCGACGUGUCGGGACUUGACGGUACUGUGAGAAUAAGGAUCGGCUAACUCCGUG
rnacentral:rRNA from 1 species